rnacentral:lncRNA from 1 species
GUCCGCGUGAAUGCUCCGGCAUCCACGUGGGGCGUGGGUCCUACGCAGCGGCCUGGAAACCCUAGGAUGCCGUGCCAUAAAGGAGCAGGUAGUGCGUCCCUCUUUAUAGGGGUGUGGCCCUGUAUUCACAGCCGGCAAACGCUGCUACUUCCUAUCAGACCGCAUGAACCCGUAAUGGGGGAUGGACUUAGGGGGGCACGCAUAUAGGUUAGGGUACUCUCCUGAUCCUUCGGGGUUGGGGGGGCGUACCGGACAGUCGGCAACUGUGCAUGGCCCUCCGGGGCCGGCCUUUUGCCCAGCAAUGGACCUGACGAUACUGAAAGCGUGUUUGGGGCUGGUAUCCUGGGACCUUCACGUGGUGGCCCUGUUUAAACUAAUCUUACCAGGAUGUGCUUCCAGAAGGGUUACAUCUAAAAACAAGGUACAAGCUACCACGGAUGAGAAGCUUACUGGAGAGAAGUGGGAAAGUAGCGAUGAGCCAACGACUUCAGGGGAAUCCAAUCGUCCAAUCCAAGUUAUUUUGUUAUUGCAGUUUAACCCCCCCCCCCCCCCCUCCCCACUGGAGAUGAGAGGCUGUAGAGGAAUUUGUUGUGAUGACAAUGAAUCAUUCUAAUCAAAGUAUGGGCUCUGAGAAACACGCAGGAGACAAGAUCUGCCGCAGUCAUUGUUAGCAAGAACUACCAGUUUAAUAAGGUGGUCCACACAGACAGCACGAUAGCCUUGCAGAGGAGAGCGUUUCUCACGAGUGGAUUUACAACUGACUGACCAAUCAACCUUCAUCAGAACUUUUUGAAGUAGUGGUGGGAGGUUGCUGACAGCCAGGUGAUGACCAGCAUCUUUCACCAGUAGUCUCCUGGUCUUCCACUGCAUCUCCAAUUUCUUGCCACCACAGACGGAUGUUUCAGUGAAGUAGUUAUGCUCCAACCUCUCUGCCAUCUGCCAUGCGAUGGGCGCUAGAGCACACCCCGUUGAGGAAGUCGGUAGCUAGGGGUGGAGGAGCAAAGUUCAAGUUAACAAAGCUGAUGUUUAAUGGUAGCUACUAGAGAUCCUGGAUGCUGACUCUGCCUAGGUUUUCACAAUACCUGGACCUAAAAGAUGAGCUGCUUUUGAUGCUGAAAUGCACUGACACGGCACUACUUUGUGACAUCACACAUCAGUCUUUGAUAAGACAGGACCUGAGUAACCUGAGUAAGUCAUCAGGCGCCUGUUAUCAGAACCACAAGAAGAGGAACGCAUGUGUUUCAGGUUUUCCUGCUCUUACCAAGAAGACGUUGCUCUUGAUGCUGGAAUGCCCUGAAACUGCACCACUUUGUGAUGACAUCAAACAUCAGAGAAACUACAUUCAAGGUGCCUUGGGCCUAUUUAGAAUGUACUAGGCUGUUAAAUGAGAAAAAAAGGUUAUAUGGGCAAUUCCAUGCUGGUGAAGACCAAACAAUUAUUCUACGGUUUGUUCAAGUUUGAUUUGCUGAAGUGACACAAUAUAUCUUGGCGUUUUUAAAACUGAAAUAGUUUCGUCCCAUGCGCGCACUAUUUUGUGAGUUAUGGUACACCAUCACAUCAAAGUCUGCAAUGACGUCAUGAUGACUUAUGGAUGCACUGGUAAGGAAUUUUGAAUUGGUCUUUUACUAUCUAUUCAGUAAUAAUUUCUCUCAAUUUUUUUAUGUUACCAUUUUGAAGGCAUCUUUGUGAAAAUGAAUAUUAUUUUUUAGAUGUCAAUAUAAGUCAGAUUUUGCUUGAAAAAUGAGAUACAAAUUUAAUUAUUUAUAAGUCAUAAAAAAUUGAUUUUUUUUUUGUAAAUACCAACAUUUUCUGAGCAAUGAAUUAUUCUGUUCAAAAAUUCUUAGCAGUUUGUUUACAUUUUUGUUUGAUGCUUAGGCCAGCCAUGAAAUAUAGUAAUGUCAGCCACAUGUAAUGUCAUGUAACGUAGUGUCAGUCACAUUAUUGCACAGUCCGUAGUUGAGGAAAAUACAAGUACACAUGUUAUUUAAGUCCAUACACAUACAAGUAGUAAACUCUUUGAACCAAAAUGCAACUGAGUGCCAAGCCACUGUCUGAGCAACUUAUAUAUUGUUCACAAAACAAGUGUUUUAAAAAUUUAAUUUGGACAUCUGUAACCCUUUGAUAAAAUGAAAAAUAUAUUUGUUUUGCUUUCGGGCACAAGUAGUCUAUCAUUGUCCAUUCUGAUGGGGUGGGGUGGGGGAAGUCUUCCCUGUGAGAACUGAAUUAUUGUUUGGCACCAAAUAGUUUGAUUUUCAUAAUUCCCUAUUUAUUACUAAACAUUGGCUAACUUAUUUCAUUUGUUUUGUUGUUGGUACAUUGGAUAACUUUGGUAUUGCUAGAAAAAUAGCAAGUAAAAUUGU